CACACUGGAACUGAGACACGGUCCAGACUCCUACGGGAGGCAGCAGUGGGGAAUUUUGCGCAAUGGGGGAAACCCUGACGCAGCAACGCCGCGUGAGUGAUGAAGGCUUUCGGGUCGUAAAGCUCUGUCAGUGGGGAAGAAAUGAGAUUGGUUAAUACCCAAUUUUCUUGACGGUACCCACAAAGGAAGCACCGGCUAACUCCGUGCCAGCAGCCGCGGUAAUACGGAGGGUGCAAGCGUUGUUCGGAUUUAUUGGGCGUAAAGCGCGUGUAGGCGGUUUCUUAAGUCUGAUGUGAAAGCCCUGGGCUCAACCCAGGAAGUGCAUUGGAUACUGGGAGACUUGAAUACGGGAGAGGGUGGUGGAAUUCCUGGUGUAGGAGUGAAAUCCGUAGAUAUCAGGAGGAACACCGGUGGCGAAGGCGGCUGCCUGGACCGAUAUUGACGCUGAGACGCGAAAGCGUGGG
rnacentral:rRNA from 1 species